UACGUAGGGGGCGAGCGUUGCUCGGAAUGACUGGGCGUAAAGGGCGCGUAGGCGGAUGACACAGUCAGAUGUGAAAUUCCCGGGCUUAACCUGGGGGCUGCAUUUGAGACGUGCUGUCUAGAGUGAGGAAGAGGGUUGUGGAAUUCCCAGUGUAGAGGUGAAAUUCGUAGAUAUUGGGAAGAACACCGGUGGCGAAGGCGGCAACCUGGUCCUUGACUGACGCUGAGGCGCGAAAGCGUGGGGAGCAAACAGG
rnacentral:rRNA from 1 species